rnacentral:lncRNA from 1 species
GCAUGAGAAAGUUAAUGAGCUUAUUUUGGUUUAGAAAUUUCCUUCUGCCCAAAGGUGUUGGUAUUUCAAAAACCAGUGUAAUUUUGUUAACUAGCUACAUGAUGUGUUUUAAGAGUACCUUAUAGCAUGUUGUAUUGUCGACCCAAAGGUGACUUUAUGAUGAUGCAUCUAGGCUCUUACCGUAAUAAAAUUUAUAUGUUUCGAUUUAAAUUACGGAUUAUCUAAUUAAUAGCCCAUAUUAAUUAGUUGGAUAUUAUAUCAUCUAUUUGAUUGCAUGCAUUAAGUUUGGAUGAUAUUAAGAGUGAUAUUUUAUGUUUCCACAGUUUAUAAUGCCUCAUCUCUUUCGAAUCAAUUGUCUGCUAUUGAAACUUUGACUGGGA